AUGAAAGAUGCAAGGGCAUUUUAUUCAUAUAACUCAUUAGUGUUCUCGAGCCACUCACUGCAUGGCCACUGUGUCCCCACCUGCAGGGACGCCUGUUCUCCGUCAGAUUCCCACGCGCACUGGCCAAGGCCUGCUCGGCCCCACAAGCCUGUCCAGCUCACACCGACACUCAUCAUCCAGCAGAAGAUUAUCACUAGGAUGACAAUCACUUCAGUUACAGGCACCGUGGAAGGACGUUUGAUUCCCUGGAAGGCUCUGCUGGACAGUGAGCAUGCAAAUCAGGGAGUCAGAAAGCAGGCACAGCCGCAAGGAGCACAGGACACCGCCGCCCACAGUCUUGGGGAAACGUCUGGAACACACCCCGUCCACAGUCUUGCCCAAGUACCAUUUGUACUAACUGCAGUUCAGCGGUCUCGCCCCAGCACUUCCUGUACCCUUUACCUCAUAAGGACACAGCACCCCAUCUCAUCUCUCACAGUCACGAUGGGGACUGCAGUAUUUCACAGUUGUUCUUUAGCAGGUAAAGAAACUCCUGUGCUUUCCUAGUUUUUACCAUGAAUGAAUAUUGGAUUUUAUUAAAUGUUUUCUGUUCAGCUGUUAAGAUGAUCACGCAGACACUAUCCUUUCAAAUACGAUGUAUUACAUUAAAUUUGGAUAUUGAACAAGCCUUGCAUUCCUGGGAUAAAUCCUUCUGGUCAUGGUGGACGAUUCUUUUUAUAUGGUACCAAUCUGGUUUGUUAAUAUUUCAUUAAGGAAUUUUCUGGCAUUAUUCAUAAAGGAUAUAGGCUUUUUUCAUUCUUAUAAUAAUAAAGACAAAGACAUCAGAGAACUAGUAGUUCCAUAGUUCUGAUGUAAUUCCACCUCUAUUUUUAAAGUUUAUACUAUUACUGUCAUAUACAGCACAUCGACAUAUGCCAUGUACCCAACAAUACAUUAUAAUUAUUGCUUUAUAUAAGGCUGUCUUUUAAAGAAGUCAGAAAAUAUAGAUGGAUGUCUCUUUUUAGCUCACAUAUUUGCCAUUUCUGAGGUCUUUCAUGUCUUCCUGGGGAUUUGAACUGAAUCUGUGCCAUUUUUUCUCAUUCUGAAGGAUUUUGUUCAGUAUGUCUUAUAAGGAAUACUGCUAGCCACCAAUUCGCCCCGUCUUUAUUAGAUACGUUUUUAUUUUACUUUCAUUUAUGAAGACAAGUUUCAGUAAAAAAUUUUUGGUUGAAUAAAAUUUUGUUUUUAAUUUCAGCACUCUCAGUAAGGCAUUCUGUUGUUUCCCGGCCUCCACUAUUGCAGAUAGAAGGCCAGCCCUUGAAUCAAUCAAUAAGCCUGUCAGUCAUUUUCUCCUGUAGCUUUCAGUUUUCACUCUGCCUUUUGCUCUCAUUUUCUUCAAUCGUUUCUCUGUUUAUUCAUAACUUCUACUAAUUAUCUUCAAAUUCAGCUAUUCUUUAUUUGCCAUCUAAAUCUCCUGUUCAGUACCUAUGGUGAAUUUGUCAUUUGUUAUUGUACUUUCAACUCCAGAAUUUUUUAUUGUUUUUAAUUUUUAGCUCUUUAUAGACUGUUUUCAUUACCGUAAUUCUUUAAAUACACAGUAGUUGCAACAGCUCUUUCAACAUGUGUAGUAGCUUCUUUCAAGUCUGUCUGCUAAGCCCAAAAUCUAAGAACUCUGAGAAGUACUUUCUAUUUAUCACUUUCUUUCAAGAAUGUGGGUUACACUUCACUGUCUCUUGCAUGCCUCACAUUUUGCUAAAUAUGAACAGUACAGAAAACACACUGUAUUAACUGUGAAUGCUGACUGCCCCCUUUGCAAGUCAUUAUGUCUCAGUUGCUUAAGGUAAAUCUGAAAUGUCUCCAUCAAGCAUAUGUAGCUGUGAUAUCGAUGCUAAAUUACUUUUUUUUUUUUUUUUUUUUUUGGUACCAGGGAUUGAACUCGGGUCCUUGCGCUUGCAAGGCAGGCCACCGAACCACUGAGCUAAAUCCCCAGCCCCAUAAAUUACUUUUUUUAAAGCUGUUUUAUUGUGGUUGUUGUUUUUAUUUUUCAUUUUUAAGCCUGGACUCUUACGUUUCCAUGGGUUGGCAAUCAGUCACUGACUCACGAGAGGACACAGUCAGACCACUCAAGCCCAGAAGGCUUUGGCCAACAACCUGCACAGCGGGGGAUGCAUAGGAAGUUCAAGCUGGUUCAGUCAGCCUACACUUUGGCCUUCUGUUAGGCCCUACCAUGUCUCCGAGCUGAAAAGGCGGGUGUGGACAUUCCUCUGUCCAGCCCUGGCUGCACACUUCACUUGGGAUAAUGUUGCUGACACACAGAGAAGCUGGCUUUCCCCACUUCCCCAUCGCCAGGACUGUCACUUCCACUAACCAUGCUGGUGGCCACUUCAGAUCAAGUCCAGUCAGCUGCAAGCUUCCUGGGUCCUCACAGACUGCUCUGCCUGGACAGAGCCUCCACACCACAUAGCUGUGCGACAGUGAAGAGAGGAAGCCAGUUGAGAACAGCACAGACUCCCGUUCUUAAUGGAGUCCUGUCUUGCUUCAAGUGUAAAUGCCUCUCAGAUUGAUACAUAACUCUGGACAAUUCUAGACUCCUGAAAUUGUUAUCUGUGUCAGUUUGUCCAAGCAUUUUAGGGAGAUUUGCCGGCUUUCUCAGAACCACAGCCCAUAUUUUAAAUUACUCAUUAUUGUUUUAUUUGGCACUAUUGAACAUUUUAUUUAUACUUUCCCUUGAGUGAACUUUCCAUUCUCCUAUUUGCUUCUACUUACUUUGAUAGUUUUUUCAUCUCUGAAUAUAUCAUGUUAAAUCUUUACCUAUAUACUUAAUAUAUAUUAAACUCACUUAUUUUUCUCACAAUAUUUUUAUAACUUUUCCCCCAAGAGCUUUUUAUUACAAGAAUUAGAAUGUUUUCUGGUACUUUAAACCUGAGAAAGUUCCCCAGUUACUCUACUAAAAUCAAUUACA
rnacentral:lncRNA from 1 species